rnacentral:miRNA from 1 species
UUGAAGAACUGCAGGUGGUGGUC